GAGAAGGUGAGAAGAUGUGUUGAAUCCAAUACUGCUUGGCAGACCUACAACUUUACAAAUGACCUGUGUUCCACCUAGAGAGGGUGCCAGCCCUCUCAGCAUUAUGCAGUGCCCCUCCUCUGUCUGCAUCCCCAGGACCACCAUGGGUGGGGAGGGCAGAGAUUGGGGAGCACCUAUAGAGGCUCUAAUGCUCUAAGGUGACAGUGAUGAGGACCUGGGUGCACCCAUGAGUGGAGAAGCUAGGCCUGUCCAGAGAAGCAAGACAAACACACACAUACACACACACACACAGGCACACAUGCAUACACAAAUACAUUGCAUACACACAUGUCAGUUCAGGGGAUAGAGGACACUGACUCUGGGCCCUGUUGACCCAAGCAGACUCCCAUGGUGGUGGGUUGUGUCACCCCACAAUGUCACUGUUGCUGAGUCCCCAUCACCUCUGUGUUGUGGAGCAGUUAGAGACACACAGCAGUGUCUGUGAGUAGCUCUGCGUGAAGGACCAUUUUCUAGAUGAGAGGCACAUCUCAACACAGCUCACUGAUCAGAUUCAGCAAUUCCAUUCUGCAUCUUUUCUGAUCACCUCCGUGACCACACAGGACAACCCCAUCAGGGCCCUGUCACCAGGCCCAGUCUAGCUCCAUGAUAACCAAGACACAGGUCCAGAGACAAUCGUCCUACAUUGUGCCUGCAUCUGACCCCCCUUGGUAGGUAGUGACCAGCACAACAUGGAAGAAGCCAGGGCAGCAUGCAGCCAGCUGCUCUGCAGCCCCAAAUGGCUCCUGGGCCUUGGAAGUCAUUCAUAAAGGGGAAGCUGGUCACUUUGAGGUCCCUGAAGGGAAGGGUGAACGUGCAUCCCAACAGCCCUGGCAGCCAGCAGCAUGCCAUACAUAUUCUCACCCAACGUGUGUGACAGAGGUCCCCUCCUGGGGCACAAGCCCCAUACCUAAAGCAUCCUGUCCCAGUCGGACCUCAUCCUGAGCCCUGGGAGGGGAGGGGCACCAUGGGCCCCCCUGCAGCAGCCAGGAUUACCACCCAGGGGACUCGGCCUUCUGUGGCCCUGGCCAGACUUAGAAUUUGGCCCAAGACAACCUUACUCGGAGCAGCUUCUCAGUACCUGGGGCCUGUGCAUGCCAGGCAAGGCCAAGCUGGCUCAAAGAGCAACCAGCCACCUCUGCAAGGGUGUGCCAGGAGCAGGUGGAGCAGUCACCAACCUCACCCACUCAAGGAAAUAGGGAUGGCCAGUUUCCCACAGUCUGAGUGACCACCACCUGACAGCUGAUGGAGUGGAGGCCUGAGGAAAAGCAGAUGGCACUGGGGCUCCACCUCCAGGGCAGAAUAACUGAUUUACCCUGACUGGCAGGGAGUGACGUUGGUGGCUGGUCCACUGGCUCCUGGCACACCAUUGCAGAGGUGGGUGGUUGCUCUUUGAGCCAGCUUGGCUUUGCCUGGCAUGCACAGGCCUCAGUGCAACAAAUGUGCUGCAAAUGGAGCCACAGAGAGGAAAUGAGCAGCAGGCUCAGAACUGGGGUGUGUGCCGCCUUUGGGGCUCCAGUCCAAGCAUCGGGGCUUCUACAGCACUGUGGGCUUCUCGGGUGCCAAGAGGCAGACCACAGGCCAUCUUGAGGAGGACUCUGGUAAGAGCUUCCUUGUGUAUGUGGAUGAUGUCCAGAAUGUUGGCCUGGUGUCCCUGAGACAGCACUAACAGGUCCAUGACUGGGUCCAGAUCCUGCCUGGGCUGAUGGGCAAAGAGCUCACUGACAGUGUGGAAGCAUCUAUUUUGAAGUAGGAUCUAUGUUCAAGUGCAGAAAGGGCCCAAUCUUGUAGAUGAACCACACAGCCAGCUUCUGGAUGCAGGUGCAGUGCCACAUUGUUUGUCACUUCCUGAUGUGCCCCACCAGCACUGAAGAGAUAGCCUGGAGACAGGGCAAGAGGAAGGCUGAGAAGGAUGAGAUGGUGAGUGCCAGAUUCUUCCUGGCCCUGAGCCCACCCCCAGUGUGACACUCAACUUUUAGGAGUGGGAGAGCAAGAUUGACGGCUUCAAGUGCUUCACCAAGAAGAUGGACAACAGGGCACUCAGCUCAACUUCACAGCCAAUGAGUGGUGGCAGGCUUUGAGAAAGAGCAUCAGAAGCCUGACAGUUCUUCUUCAGCCUCAGCCAGGCCUUGGAGCUGGACCAGGCCAUCCACUUCAGUAUAGAUGCCUUCCACUCUGUCAGUGAGCUCUUUGCCAGUCAGUCCAGGAAGGACCUGGACCCAGCCAUGGACCUGUUAGUGCUGUCUCAGGGACACCAGACCAACACCCUGGACAUCAUCCACAUACACAAGGAAGCUCUUACCAAAGUCAUGGAGAGCAGACAACAUGUGGCAGAAGGGAAGACACAGGUGCAGAAGAAGGUGCAGAGGCUGAUGACGUCAGAAUCACAGGAACAGGAUUUCUUUGGCCACUUUGGCUGAAAUUCACCACUUCCAUCCAAUUCCAGUGAGAGACAUGGACUCACAGAUGCAGCAUUUCUUGCAACAAGAGAUACUACUUUUUCAAAAAGUCACCCAGGAAUUGAUAGUGUUGAAUGACUCAAUACUCGAUCGUGGACGGUUUCCAGUUCAAGGAUACUUUCUACAGCAGAAUAAUAACACUAGCAAAGAGCUAGUACAAGGAUGGUUUUGUGCUCAACUGAAAUCCAGUUGAAUACAGAAUUGUAUAGGAAACAGUUAAUAUGGUGAUAGAAUAGAAACAGUAGCAAUCGUGAACUAAAUCAUACUAUGAAUGCCUAAACUACUGCUGUAACUUUUGGAAAAAUGAUAAUACCACUUUAUUGCUUUUUGAAGUAUGAAUAUUUUAGUGUAUAUGCUCUAGACUUCAAACUCUAUAAAGAGUCUCAAAGAAGUUGGCUGGAUAAAA